GGACACAAAGUGCAUCCUAUAUAGAGGUUGCAAGGUUGCACUUCAUUACAGUGUGGACAGGUAGACAUGCCAAUAGUGUGUCUGCAGUGCACUUGGCUGUGCAGAGCCUCUGAGAUGGUGCUGUAACUUACUCAAGGCCAACGAAGAAUGCAAUGCACGUAGCAUCAAAUCCGAGGACAGAUGCCAUAUACAGUACAUGCACAGUUGCUUGGCUCUGUGCAAGGGUCAGCCAGCAAGCUCACCUCCCUGAUCCAAACUGAGGUAUCUCAAUAACUUUUGGAUGAGAUCAUAAUUAAAUGUUUUAUAAAAACGCAUGAACUCGAGAGGAUAUCGUCUGAUGGCUUUGAUGAUUGGCGGACUUUUCCUGCAGUGCCAUCAUGAGGUUCACCGUUUGAACAUGAGCACAGCUGAAUGGAGUCAAAUAUUUAACUACCGCCAUAAAACUUUACCUUUACUUGAUUUUUUAAAAAGUUUUCUGAAAAUGUAUGUUUAAAUAUGCAAAUUUGGUAUAUUUUCUUUUUUUACAUAGUGUACGAAAAACAUGAUGUUGAUGUCACCAUGAAGCAUUGUUUUGGGGGGCUCUGGGAGAAGUGAGGUAAAAUAGAGCUCAAAUUAAUGUGCAUUUUAGAUAUUUUUUCCUUCUGAAUCCACACAGAAUCAAUGUGGACCAUACACAUUUGCACAAAUGAUGAAUGACAACCAAUUUGAUAUGCUUUUUUGUCUACACGUCUUUUUGAGGGUUAUUUUGUCAAAUACCUCUCAGUUGAUACACCUUUAUGGUAGAGACAAUAUGUCCUGUUGCUGUCUCCUUUUUACCUUAAUAACUUUAAUGAAAAGGUCAUUCUUGCAUUUUCGUUUAGAAUAAAUACAGCCUUUUUUUUCAUAAUGGUUCAAAUCUUUGAGAAAAACAACAUGCGGAUUUGUCUGCCAGCACAGUCUUGCUGAUGAUUAUAGACAACUCAAUUUAAAAAAAGACAAAAUAAACAUUUCAUCUUGAAGAA
ensembl:lncRNA